rnacentral:rRNA from 1 species
UACGUAGGGGGCUAGCGUUGUCCGGAAUCAUUGGGCGUAAAGCGCGUGUAGGCGGUCCGGUAAGUCCGCUGUGAAAGUCGAGGGCUCAACCCUCGAAUGCCGGUGGAUACUGUCGGGCUUGAGUACGGGAGAGGCGAGUGGAAUUCCUGGUGUAGCGGUGAAAUGCGCAGAUAUCAGGAGGAACACCGAUUGCGAAGGCAGCUCGCUGGAACGUCACUGACGCUGAGACGCGAAAGCGUGGGGAGCAAACAGG